rnacentral:rRNA from 1 species
ACGGAAGGCAGCAGUGGGGAAUAUUGCACAAUGGGGGAAACCCUGAUGCAGCGACGCCGCGUGAGUGAAGAAGUAUUUCGGUAUGUAACGCUCUAUCAGCAGGAAAGAAAAUGACGGUACCUGACUAAGAAGCCCCGGCUAACUACGUGCCAGCAGCCGCGGUAAUACGUAGGGGGCAAGCGUUAUCCGGAUUUACUGGGUGUAAAGGGAGCGUAGACGGCUUUGCAAGUCUGAAGUGAAAGCCCGGGGCUCAACCCCGGAACUGCUUUGGAAACUGUAGAGCUAGAGUGCAGGAGAGGUAAGUGGAAUUCCUAGUGUAGCGGUGAAAUGCGUAGAUAUUAGGAGGAACACCAGUGGCGAAGGCGGCUUACUGGACUGUAACUGACGUUGAGGCUCGAAGGCGUGGGGAGCAAACAGGAUUAGAUACCCUGGUA